GUUGUGCACUGAGCCUUUCCACCAUCCUCUGUAGCACAGUCAGCCUCUUCUUACCCAGCUCCUGAUGUGCCCAUCCCUACUCUAGAUGAGGUUGCUCCAUAACCCUAAGAGCUGGGUGUGCACACAACAGAUAUGGGGUGGGGCGUGACUUUCAGCUCUUCAAACUAUGUCAAGAUUAUUUUUUCCAAAGCCCUUCUGAAAUUCCAUUGAGGCUGCAAUUGCAGGACCCCAGGGGCACUGACUGGUGGAUUAAGGAACUAACAUAGGAUGCAUGUCCUGUUUGACAGAACAGACAAACCAGGAAAUUGAAGUUCAUCCAGCAACCGGGUGCAAAGUGAGCCACCAAAAACUAUGGCAGUGGUGCUGGAUCAGCAGCUUAAGGACAGGCAUUUGGCCUUCUCCAGCUUCAGAUAUGGAAAUGACACAGAAGAAAAAUGUCAGGAAAGCAAGCUUGAUGGCAUUGCUCCUUGAAGCUGGAAGACCCAGGCCCCUCAUUUCUCGUUGCUUCUUGAUGAGGCCGUAUCCUGUACUAAAGGACCCCACAGUCCCACGCCACCUGGCUCUGGCACGAGUCUUAUCACAAUAUGGUCAGUGUGCUGGGAAUCUUUCUGACUUACUGAUUGUCUCUUCCUGGGUUUAUAUAAUGCAAUCAGAGGAGUGACAUCCCCCUCACCGAUAACAUGUUUAUUGACUAGAAACAAGUAAAAAAUGCCAGGGGAGGCUUUAACCUGUGGUCACUUGGUGUUGUCAUCUGGGGCCUGGAUCUAGAUGAUGGUCAUGGAGGGAGUGUGUGGCUGGGAAAUGCACAGCCAUCUGGCAGGAGAGAGAUAGCACAGGGUAGGGUCUCAGCAGCCCUUCAAGCUACCACUUCUGAUGCCCAAUUUGCUCCCAGCUGCCCACCAUUUACAAACUCACUACCUCCAAGUUGCACAGUGGGCUGAAAUCUGAGAUUUUAGCAUCUGUACAUUUGCAGAAUAUUUGGGAUCCAAACUACAGCAGAGGCAUCUUCUGCACUAAAACCCACAGUCUCCAGAAGUUUAAUAAAGUAAUCAAAGCAAGAAGCCCACAAAGGCUAGGAGUCUAACCAGAUCAAAUGGUGACCAGGGAGUAGAGCAAACAAAAACAAUCUCUAAACACUUAAGAGAGUAAACAAACAAGCAAACAAAAACAAUCUCUAAACACUUAAGGGACAGAAUGUUGUGAAAUUCUAGGCUGAAGAUGUGACUCAACAAUAGUGUUUGCCUAGCACUCAUGAGACACUUGGUUCCAUUGUCAGCACUCUAAAAUAGAAGAAAAAGAGGGAAGGGGAGAAGGGAAGAGGGUGAGUUGGGGAGGGGAGAGGCAGAGGAAGAUAUAUGAAUUCAAUAACAAAAAAUAUGAAACUCUGAGCAACUGAUAUUUUAGAGAAAAAGUAAAUGGUAAUGUGAUUUUAAUAAAGCAUUAUUCCUAUAAGCAUAAGGAGAGAUUUUCAUUAUAAAAAGAUGUGGGUAAGAAAAAUAAUCGAUUGAAGUCUUUAGAAAUCAAUAUUGUAUAUGUAAAAUAAAUAAAUGUGUAGAUAAUUGGACCCAAUGCUGAAUAAAAAGGUCUCAAAUCUUGGGACUGUAUUAUCAAUCAAGAAGAAAAAUAAGAUUCUCCUGAAACAUAGUGUAGCAGGACUAAAAGAAAUUACAAGGAGAGUUAUGAAAGCAACACAGAUCCUGAAACUUCAACCUAUUCCAGACUGUACAGUAAGAUGACAGACAGAGAUGAAGAAAAGAAAGAAAGAGAGAGAGACAGGGAGAGAGAGAGAGACAGAAACAGAGAGAGAAAGGCAGAGAGAGAGAAGUCAGGGAGCAUAAAAAGGAAUUGCGAGGGUAUUACUAUGUCAAAAAGAAAUUCCCAAAAGAGUCAAAGGUCAUUAAUUUUCAGAAGGAAACAACACACCCAUUCAAAAGGAUGAGUACUAAAAGUUUUUGCAACAUGCACCUGUUAUUUAAGGACACAAAUGAUAUUUAGAAAUCCCUAAUCCUUGGUGGAACAUCCUUUAAAAAUGAAUACCAUCAAUGCAGACUUAUUAGCACUAAAUAAUGGAUGUGUAAUAAUUUCAAUCACAUAAAAAUGUGAUUUUGACCUAGAAUUUCAUCUUUAUCAAAUUAUAAAACAAUUGUGCAGAGAAAGGACGUUAUUGGACAAUCAACAACACAGAAAAUGUUCCAUUUAAGGAACACUACUUAUGAAAGACCUCCUUGAGGAUGCUCCACACACAAAGUAGGGGGAAGCAGGUGAGAAAAUGGAAGAUUUAGAAUAAAACAAACAGUGUAUUCACAGGCUACUCAUUAUUUGAGUUCAUUUUCAGUACAAGUGAUGAUUGAUACAUGACGUUAAAAUUUUAAUAAUAUUCAGACAAUAAAUUUACUCGUAGUUUUCAUGGAAAUUGUACUCAGGGGGUUCAAAGAUGAGACAAAAUCAGCAUUCAUCUUUUUUAUUUUUCAGUUUAUUAUUAUGUAAAUUUUUGAAAUAAAAUUUUAAAGAUAUCCAAGGAAAGUGCAGAAAUAUCACGUAAAACUUCCAGAACAUUAAAGAGAGGAAAAUAAGUUACCUUGUUAAGAAGCCAGGGAGCCGCCCUAAAUCAGAUUCCAGCAGACUCAGGAGACCAAGACCUCUAAACCUUAGUGGCAUGGAAUGUCCUUUGCUUUUUUAUGACUCAGUUUCCCUCUCUCUGAAAUUGGCUCUUUGGUCUUUAUAUCUCACUGUCAAUCUAGCAUCAUACAUAAAUUCAUCAAAGACAUUUUGGGUCAUAAAUUAAAGAAAUGAGUAUAUGAGUUGUUUGCAAGAGUUUGUAAGGGUGGUCAUAGACGGGCUCAGUUUGACUUUUCACCAAUGCUUUGUGACUUACGAGUUGUUCUUUCAUGUUACAAUGAUGAAUCCUGUGACAACCUUCUUUUUCCACUUAGGGAUAGCAUACUUUUGGAUGAAAGUAUGCUAAGCCCGCAGUUUACAGUUUCUUGUGGCAUCUCUUUGUAUGCAGUGCCAGGUUCUCCAUCUCUGUGACCUGUUAGGAAAUUAGCAGCCCCUCAGGAGUGCCCAGGUGCCUGCAGUCACUGCCCUGGCUUCAGUCACCCAGAGAGAGCCGCAGCAGCUCUGGGGAGCUAGAUCUCAGGGGUGUGAGCCCUCCUACAAACCAUGCAUGUGAGGAAUCUUGGCUGCCCUGGUGGGACACUGCUUUUUAUAAAACCAGCUCCUAGUGCCAGAUGAACUGGAGACACUGCUUGGCACACCAUCAGCACUGUGCCCACAUAGCUGCACCAUUAAGCACCUCUCAGAGUUUACGAUCUGGGGCAUCACACUUUCCGCCGUGGCAGCUGACCCUGUGUCCUGCCUGAUCUCAUUUCCCUGAAGACACCCAUUUUACUGCGCUCAAACUAUCCACCCUCCUCGACAGAUUAUUUACCUCUUGGUUGUACUAUAGACUGAGGCAAAGAUAAGUGCUUUGUUCACUAUUCUUCCCAGCCUUGGGUCUAGCAGAGAUUUGCUUCAGGGUAAUUCCAUUUUUAAUCUUUUUUAUUCAUACAUGUUUGCAAUAGAUACUGAAUACUUUUCAUACUGGGUAAUGGGUGUGCAUCCAUAUUACAUAUUAAUCAUUUUUUUUUCCUUCCUUUUCCAUGCCCUUGUGUCUCCCCCAUCCUCAGAUUCCUUUCCAUCUCCACCAAUCUACUUCUACAAAUAUGAAAACAGAAGACUGAUGGUUUUCAGGGAUCAGGCUGAUGUGCGUGACAAGCCUGCCAUUCACCAUUUGUUGUACACAUAGUUCACAGAGGCAGGAGGAUUAUGAUCAUCCUUCACACCACAGAUGCUGUGAUCCACACCUCCUGUCUCUCUUGCUCUUCUCCUGGUGUGAGAGCUCUCUCAUCCCUACCUCCCAGGCCUAUAUUCUAACAGAUUUCCUCUUCCAUAUUCUGUCUCAACAAAAAUAUUCUCACCUUUUUUCUUCCUUAAACUGCUUUAAUUUUCCAUUAAUUGUGUCAUAUGGUGUUACUAAAAGUUAUAGGACUGUUUACAUUCAAUUUUUUUUAUUACAGUGAAAGACAUGCAGCUGUGAAUCACCUCAAAAUAGUACUACUUGUUUAGAACAUACUCAUCUCAUCGUGCUUGUCACAUCCUGCAGCAGCUCUGGAGUUUCCUUUGCUGAGAAUCUUUAGCUGUGCUUCCUGCCUGCCCUGAUGUCCUGAAUGGAUUCAAAAUGUUUCCCUUGAAUGGUCAUUGUGACUUUGGCUAAGAACCUCAGGUCCAGUGGGUGAGAUGGAUGAGAACAUGGCAUUGUGCUCUUAUUUGACAGAAACUGCCAUAAAUUUUGAUAAAUAAGAAAUGAUCAGAAAGCACAGUGAAUGCUGAAAUGGGAAGCUUUAUUACAGCAAAAGAUACAUUUCCACUUAUACCCCUCAACAUGCUCAAAAUAUUUCCUCUCACUUCCAACACUAUAACCUGUCUUUCACAGUAAGAUGUCUUUUCCUAUAAUAAGUCUGUUUUAUUCAAACAUAAUGUACUUUUCAGUCACCCUUGGCAUAAUCUGACAUGGUUGUCUAUCUUUCUAUGUGCUAGUCUCUCACCUUUAACACGUAAGCUCUGUGAAUCUAGUUGUCUGAUAAAAUUUUAUUUUGUGGGUUUUUCCCCAAUAAUAGUUGGAAAAUGAACCUUAUUUGAAUUAAUGAAUCAAAUAUGAUCAGUGGAUAAAGUUCAACAAGCUUAAGAACAUCCCAGCCAAUCUUACUCACUCAAAAAUGGGAAAGACGUUAUAGCCUCAGGAGUCAAUAGCAUGGAGCCCACGAUAUGUAUGUUUAAUGUAGGAUCCUUGGGAAAAAAAACCCUAAUAGUUUGUGCCUCCUCUGAAAGGUAAAACAGGACCUAACUGAGUCAUGAUGCAAAUCCAGAGAGUGACCCAAAAAUCCAGUAAACAGAAAAGAUUCACCUCCUUGUCUUUGUCAUUCCUCUUACCACAGAGCUAAGCUGUGCAUAUUCCUUUCCAGUCCACCAGAGAGAAACAGCAGCAGGUGGACAGAGGUGAGCAGGAAAGCAGUGUGCCCUCCUCAGUGACUACUGAUGAUUUUUCCUGGUCUUGCACAAUGGAUCUUCCAGGGACCCGGGCUGCUUGAAGCUGGCUGUCUUAGUCACUUUCCCAGUUGCUGGAAGAAAUACUCAACACCGCCAAUUUAAAGACUUUCUGUAGCGCAGGUUGUGAAGUCUCAGUCCUAGCACAUUCAACUGUUCCAAAGCAGGAAGACCUGGCACAAGGGUCUGGUGAAAGAGAGCUGCUCGGGUCACGGUGGCCAGGAAGCAGACAGCAAUAGAAGGUGCCAGGGCCGGAGAUGAAAACCCUUCCAGGUCUCACCCUAGGUAUGACGUCUUCCAACCAGCUACCACUUCCUCACAGCAAGUGAGCUCUGACACUUCUGCUGUCCAGUCCUCUUCCAAAAGCCUCACUUUAUGUGCCAUGGUGAAGAGUCUCAGUACGUCCUAACAUGGAGCUCCAUCAGAAUGCAUUUCUUCUGUGUUCAGCUCUUGGCAGAGGGUGAUGGGCAAGUUGUGGGACUCCUGCAGGAAGACCUGGGCUCUCGCUCUGCCCCUCCAACAUCCCUUGCUCUAUUCCUUGCUCGCUCUGGACUUAACUUCUUCAUUCACAUCAUGAAUAUUAAUAGUUCAAAGCAAGUCCUUUUCAUCAUUUUAGUAACCAUGUCAAAAAUGGAAACAACUCAAUACCUACCUGUGGGAGAUCAUUUAAAUCAAUCUGAUGUAGAGAACACAAUGGAAGAGUAUCUCAUGACAUAAAAGUGCCCAGGAUUAAUUGGUACAUACAAUUGUAGAUGGCCAAACAAUACAUUAGCAUAAAGCUAAUUUUGUAAGGAAAGGACAAAAACCCAUUUGGAUGCAGAGUAAUGUUGGGAGCCGCAGCCGAGCCCGGUCGCCUUACUUGGCGGACGUGAGGCCUGUAGAAAAGAGCAAAGCCCGAGCUAGAUUACCCCUCCCAUCGAGUGAGCCAAGUUGGCGCCUGCUUCCUGCCCCCUGAUUGCCCUGGCGACUUAAACAGCCCGCGCAAUAGAUUGGUCUACCUAGCAACCAAUGACGAUGACCAAUCAGCUUGCAUUGCUUGCUGUUGCCCUAUUGGAUGAUGAGUCCAUAUAUAUAUGUAUGUGACCCUCCCUGCGGGAGGAGAUAGAGAGAUAGAGAAAGUCCACCGGUAAGAAAGGACUGGUGGCAGAGCAGAGGCCUCGCGGGGCCCACGCGGAGACAAAUAAAGACAAGGUUGCACACCGUCAGAAUCUGUCGUGUGUUUUUCCUGCCGGCCGGGAGCGACACCGACAUCUGGUGGCCCCCACUCCCCACCAGUUCCUGAUAAAGCACAGGAGGAUAAGCCCGCGGACACAAGUCAACUCGACCCUUCUGGGACCGACGCUCAGCGCCCGAGACCAUCUACAAACUAAAAUGUCUGGUUUGGAGCUUUUUCUAUUCUGUAGGUUCCUAUUAAUCACCCCUGUUCGCACAAAUUUGACCAACACUGUUAAAAAUAUGACAGCUUGGCUGCAAGACACCUACCUACCUAAGUUUCACAAUUUGUCCCUCAUAGUCAGUCAGGAACUUGACAAUAUGGACGGUAUCCAACUAGGUCCAGUCAGGUUCGAUUUAUCAACUUUAGGCAGUGUUAUAGCCAGUUUGUGGGAACGCGUCACCUCCUGGUUCUCCUGGCCCAACCUGACUACUUGGAUCCUGAUUGCCGUGGCCAUCCUAGUGGGGCUUGUGGUUAUUAAAUGCUUGUUAGAUCGCCUCAUACAAACUCAGCAGCAGGUUAAGAUCACAGCCAUGGCAGCCAUGCAAAUGGCAGCAGGUGGCCCAUCAGGCCAGCAGGCCGCCGCAUAUCUCCUUCACAUUGCAGAACAUCAGCUAUAAGAGCUGAGUGGGCAAGCCAAUGACGGGUAAGACGGGAAAAGCCCUCCCGGUCAACCUAAGACAGGCUCCACUCAGAUAUACAUGGCCUAUAAGGCCAGGGAUCCCUCCCGGAGUCAAAUUAUUGGCAUUGAGAUGCGAGACCAAGGGUACUGCAGUGCCAUCCGCCCCAAAGGUUGGGGGGAAGGCAGGAAUGAAUGUCUAUAUGCAUCCAGGUUCGGUUCACAAAAGCCUGGCCCUGCGAAAAAAUGAACCACUCACCUUGAGCAUGGUCCUGGCGCAAGGAUAUGCACAAAACAGGGUGAUGCACAGCAGGGUAUAGACCUCUACAUUCUCUCAUGCCUCGGCCUACAAGGUAGGCCCACUCCUAGGUGUCUAACAGCAACAAGGUCAUAGACACCUUGGAGGGACCCACAGACCAUCCUAUUUUAAUAAAUAAAAAAGGGGGAGAUGUGGGAAGCCGCCUAUGAUGGUGCCCAUUUCCUGCUUCCGGGUUCUUCCCGGCCUGAACAAGCCCGCCAAAUUGUCAUGUCUGCCCAGUUACCCGUGACGCUAGCCUAUCAGCUUGUUAGACGUGCUUCUCUGUGAUUGGAUACUGCUUCCCCUUAUAAGAGGCUGUUCCUGCCCCCAACGGGCGGAAGAGGAACCAACGUUGAGGGUGGUGGACCUUGUUAGGUCCGGUUCGCUGUACGCAAUAAAGUUUGAGAGCU